rnacentral:rRNA from 1 species
GUCCUUAGUUGCCAUCAUUAAGUUGGGCACUUUAAGGAGACUGCCGGUGACAAACCGGAGGAAGGUGGGGAUGACGUCAAGUCAUCAUGCCCCUUACAUCCUGGGCUACACACGUACUACAAUGCAACGGACAAAGGGCAGCCAACUAGCGAUAGUGCGCAAAUCCCAUAAACCGUUGCUCAGUUCAGAUUGCAGGCUGCAACUCGCCUGCAUGAAGGCGGAAUCGCUAGUAAUCGCAGGUCAGCAUACUGCGGUGAAUACGUUCCCGGGCCUUGUACACACCGCCCGUCACACCAUGGAAGUUGGCCACGCCCGAAGUCGUUACCCCAACCGUUUACGGAGGGGGACGCCGAAGGCAGGGCUGAUGACUGGGGUGAAGUCGUAACAAGGUAACC